GUUCGAGAGAGAGAGAGGAGCGGUGUGCACAUAGGCUUCCUGCUUUACAAGCAAAGGAUAAAAGGGCUAUUCAGAGGAGUUUCGGCGCGGUGGGUCUUUGUGGAGCAGUUUUGGGCACAAGCUUGCCCAGGGAAGUUAUUUGGGCGUGAAGGUUUCCUGUUGAAGUCUCCGGGGAAAAGGUUUUUCUAUUGAAGUCUGCUGGAACAGAGUUCGUCUGUGGGAAUCUGCUGGACUGAUUUAUCGAUUGGAUCUGCGCUGUGAAGGGAGAGAGAAAGAUAAGUGAAUUGAUUUCAUCUUACAAACAUUCGAAAAGCUUGAAGAGGAUACAGUGAAUGUAAAUCUGACUGUUGGGGAAGCUAUGUGUUUCAGAGUGUGCUGAAGAGGAAUUGAGGAUUGAAUAUCCCCCACGGGAGUGUAACGAAUGGAUUGAGACCUCUGAUCAGCCUUACCGUGUGAGUGAAUUGCAGUGCUUUUGCCUUAUUGUUACACAUUGAUUCAUUGCUGUGGAUUUGUGGUGAACAUGAGUGUGGUGUGCUUUUGCUGAGAAGUAGUCCCAACCCCUGCUUACACGUUUGUGAAAAGUUAUGAUACCUGCUCUCCAUUAGAAUCCCUUACCUGUCUAUUUACCACCUGAGUCCUGGAAGUAUGCAGCAUCGCUGGUGAAGUAAGCUUUUAAGCCACUGUCUCACUCACGUGCACCGACGCCAGUAUCCUGUACUGAGAAGACUUCUUACCUCCCUAGGUACCGUCUGAGUCUGGAAGUACGCAGCAUCGCUGAGGAAGUAAGCUUUUAAAUUAUUCUUUCUAAUGUGCCCCGGCGAAAGUAUUCUGUACUGCGAGGGAUGCUUACCUGUCUACUCACCGUCGGAGUCCCGAAGGAUGCAGUAUUUCUGCCCUAGGAAGGAACAUAUUGCUGUGGGGAAAUUCUUGCCUUCUUACUUACCGUCUGAGUCUGGAAGUAUGCAGCAUUGCUGAGGAAGCAAGCUUUUAAAUUACUCUUUCUCUAAUGUGCCCUGACGAAAGUAUUCUGUACUGCGAAGAACCCUGACCUGUCUACUCACCGACGGAGUCCUGAAGAAUGCAGCAUUGUUGGUGAAACUCACUGCCCAAGUCUUGAAGAGAGCCGCCCUAUUGGUGAAGUCGCCGUCAGGGCGAAACUGCGACGUACGAUCAGUACCUAUCCGUAGCUGAAGAAGACCUAGAGGACACUGAAGUCUAUCACGCUUGUGCUCACUGAUAUAUUGUGCUCAAUAAAGAUUGUUAUUCCUUUGAAGUUACCUCUUGUCUGCGUUGUCCAUCUGUUGCGGACCUGUGGUGUCGGCUCCUCACGGUGGGGUCUAAGUAAGGGGUGGCUGGUCAUCCGAGUCCACCCCAGUGACACUCACACACCAGUUAAAUGUGUUCCAGUUUCACAGAGUGGAUGCUGUGUACUUGUUCCCCAGGAGUCUCUCUCACUACUUCCAGC
ensembl:lncRNA